rnacentral:lncRNA from 1 species
CUGUUGAGUCCAUAUCCCACGCCUGAGAACUCUGAGAAAUCCAUUUAUGGCGCUUCCUCUCUGUCAAAUAACAAAAAUAUUAGUCAGCAGCAAGCAAGAUCUGAAUGCCCUGCACCUGACACACCUGGUAAUGGUAUGUCAACAUCACAUUUGCUUGCAGGGUUCGAAAAUGCUAAUGAUACUCACAGUAAUGCUUUAACAACUGAUUUUGGCAAGUCGAAGGUUACAGAACAGCCCCAUGAUCCCGGAGUUACCAUGGUUAGCGAAGCGUUAUUAAUUUUCAUUUUCACAUGCUCUGUUUUCAAUUUUCUCCUUUGGCUUGAUAUGUUGUUCAUGUGGUAAAAGAGUGGAAAAAAACCUUGAAAUCCUUUUUUUUUUUUUUUUCUUUUUGAUUUUAUCUUCUAGUAUAGUUUGUUUUAGCUUUAGAAUUGAUGUCGGUCUAUUACUAUUUUAUAAGUUUCAGGCAAAACCCAUGUCACUUAAAUCAUUGGAGGCAUCUGUUGUCACCAUGGUUGAUGAGGCAGCCACAGCAGUCGGUGUGGAUAUGGCCGCCAUGAACAAGGGUGGUCUGCAUCCAAGAAAUUUCUUUCCACAAACUGGAAUGACUGGAGUUGAGAAAAUGAGAUACCACAUGAGUGCUUUUGGUAUAUUAGCUAUAAUAAUUUGGUUCAUUAUAAUAGUGUCUGUAUGAGCAGUAGCAAACAAAAUUUCAAGCUUUUAACGUUUGGAUAAAGGAGGAAAGAGCCAUUGGUUAUAGCAUGGAUUUCUCUCCUAACAAGCAAUGACUAUUGACUGAUGAUAUUAUUAUGAGAAAUUGUUGACAAGUGUUUGCUUAUUUAAUGGUUUUUGAACUUGUUUACAUGCUUAUCAAACAUAAUAGGUUUUUGAACAAGAUUGGCUCUGUUAAAUUCCAAACUUUGCCAUGUAAUUUUAACCUAAUUAUUUUGACUAAAACACUACCAGAACUUUGAUUUUAAGUGAUGACUUUCGACAAUCAUUUUUGAAAAAGUGAAAGUAUGGCUUAAGUAAUUUUAGCCCACUAUUUUAAGAAAUUUUUAUUGAAACAUUUAUGCUCUUAUAUUUUGUGAAUACAUAUAUAAAAUGAAAGUUGAUAAAAUCAUUUGUAAAUUACUCAAUAUCAUCAAUUUACAACCUUGCACGAAUUUAAUUUUACUUACUGAAAUUUUAAUUUGAAAAUUUUAAUUUUAAAAUUAGCGUUGAACUAAUAUUUCAUUAUUUGUUGUCAAGAGAAAUUUUAUUUAUUAAUCUUAAAAUGAUGAUUUAUAAUUAUUAUAUAUCAAAUUCAAGUUUUAUCUACUGAUAAUUUAUUUCAUUUUAUAUUGUAUUUUUCUUGAUAACAUGUUGAUUGGUUAAGAUUGAUUUUCUUCUUACUUGUUUAUUUAACUAAUUAUGUUUGAUAAAAGAAUUUGAUUUCUUCUUAAAUGGAAUUUGAGUUAUUUGUGUCUUGGAAGAAAAUUAAAUAAUUUAGUUAAGUUAUAUAUUGAUCAACUAAUACUUUAUUAUUAUAAAUAAAUGAAUUACAACUAGAACUAUUAAAUUAUAAAAAAAUUAUAAUAAUUUUAGAUUCUAUAUAUAGAUACGACAUAAAUUUAUAAAAAAAACAAUAUAAUAUAAUUUUAAAUUUAAUAAAAAUAAUAUAUAAUUUUAAAAAUAAAAAAUAUAUUUUGUAUUUGAUACAUGACAUAAUAACUUCAUCCAUAUUAAAUACAAAUAAAAAGUAUCUAAUUACAACUCUUCGAUAAGUUGGUCGGCAAAUUAGAAAAAAUCACAACCUCGAUUUUAUAUCAAUUUUGUAAAAAAAAUCAAAGAUAAAAAUAUCAAAAGAUCACUUUUACUUUACAAGUUUUUAUAAAAACAAUAAUAACAUGUUUGUUUUGAAAAAUAAAUUUAAGAUAAAAAAUUAUUUUAUUUACAAAUGAAAUAAUAUUAGGACUCGAUCCAAAAUCAAUAAUUUUAUUGAAGUAAAGGAACCAACUCUUAUUACUUAAAUUAUUUUUAUUAUAACAUAAAAGUGGUUAAUUUGGAAAUAAAAAUACAUGAUUGCAAAAAUAAUGUCAAUAUGUAUAUAAAAUAUAAAAUUUGAAAGAGAAAAAUUCAAAAGUGUAAGGAAGAAACAACAAUAAAAGUAAAAAUUGAUAAAAAAAAAAGUCAAUUUAGGGUUUUUUUUUUUUUUUGGCAAUGGUCAUUAUUUGUAGACAUGUCUCUUUUCCAUUCACUUGUGUACAACACGUGACUUUCUUUCUCUCCUUGCUUACUAAGUUUCUUCUUUCUCCUCCUUUUCUCUCACUCUCUUUCCAACCAAACAAAUAAAUCUAUUUGAUUUUCCUUCUUUUACUUUCUUCUAAUAAUGUUUAUUUAUACGUGAGAAUUGGGUAGUUUUCCAAUUCUGUCAAAAAGAAACAACAAAGAAAUUUUAUAAUUUAUUCUCUGUAUACUCAAAGAUAAUCUGAGGCGUGGGUUUAAUUCAAUCUGGGAUUUGGUUUUUUGAAAAAAAAAUCCUUGAGGAAUUUUCGAAGCGGAUCUCUCUUGGGAGCGCUUCUUUGAGGUAAAAAUUUCAAAUUUUUAUAGGUUUUACGGUUCUGUUGCCUUAAUUUCCUCGAAAAUCUUACCUGGGAUUAUGUUUUUGACUGUAAGAAUAAAAGAUUUCAUUUUUUUUUAUUUAAUAUCAACAGGUAAUUAACUUUGUAUAUUUUUUAAUCUUUUUGCUUUGAAAAAAAAUUAGAAAGAUUGAUAGAAUAUUUGGAUACCCAAUAAUGAAAGCAACCCCCAAAACCCGAUUAUUUCUAUUAAACAUAGUUUAAAUCAUAGAUUUUGUUAAUAUUUAUGAUUCUCUUUCUCUUUGUUUUUUCAUUGAAUAAUAUAUGAUAAAGUUCUAGUUAUGGGGCUGAUUUCAUUGGGAAAGUGUCAAAUAUUUAGCUAGAAAAGUUUCAAGUGCAGUUGUUUUUGGUUAGGAGGCUCAACCUUUUAACCGUGAGCCUUGGUAGCAUUCUCAGAAGCCAACUAACAAUUAAUUCUUUAGUGAAUAGCAAUUGGUUGAGUAUUAGCAUUGCUUUCCAGUGAUGUGCUGGUCUAGUGGUGAAAGUAGUGGUGUUUUAGUGAGUUACAGUCCUCCUUAGGCUUAUGAGCAAUGGCCUAGGACAGAGAGAAAAAUCGGAAUCUUAACAGCCUUGUGAAGAAGGGUUACCUAGUAUUAGUAUUAAAUCAACCAAAUUGACAUCCAGUUGUAAAAUUGUGGUUUACAUAGCAAACUAUCAUGUUCAACUUAAGUCAUGGUUGUAGGGUGUCUGUGAGUGUCUAGUAACAUGUCCUGUCAUUUUGUAAGAGCGCGGCAAAUGAUGUAUACUUUCCAAUUUAUCUUACAACGUUAACAAAAAUGAAAUCCUGCUCUUAUGCAUAAAUUUAUGGUUACAAAAACUGUGUUUUACCAGGAAUUUCGUGUCAAGAGAAGGGAGGUGUUUGUUGAAAAGAACUUUGUCAAAUGUUUUGCAUAUUUGAGUAGUGAUUUAUGUCCAAACUAGUUUUUCUUUUUCACUUCCUUUAAUUUAUGACAAAAAAUUUGAUCUGAAUUGUUUGUGACUUUUCUUUUCUCCUUUGGUGUUGUCAGAAUUUGAUGGAUAGCAAUAGCUGGAGGCCUACUCCUCCCAGUGGAGAGCCCACUAUGGAUGCAGGUGAUUGGAGAACCCAGUUGCAGCCUGAUUCACGACAAAGAAUUGUUAACAAGAUGUAAGUGAAUUUUGUGGUCUUAUUAUUUGUUAAAUAUACUUGUUGUAUUUAAGUUACUGAUAUUCUGUGGAUUGUCUUUCAUAGUUUUUCAAUAUUGUUAAUAACCAAACAAUACCAUCAAUAAAACCAUAUUUCCUAUUCCUUAGCGCUUUCUUUGUUUUGUAAAUACAUAGCUCGAGAAUCAAAGCUUGCUCUUACCCAGAGUUUGGGCACAAUAUAUAGGCCACGUAUCUGGAAGCCUGAUGUGGCUAAGCUAUUGGGUCCAAUUCUGUGUGGCAUACUUGGUAUCGACAUUUAAUGAAUUUAUGUGAUUGAAUGAGGAUAAAUUUUGCUUUUAAAUCUUUUGCUUCUUGUAAGCUUGGGACUUGUUUUCUUAUUUGAGUGCUACUGUAUAUGGAUUGAUGGUUCUCUUUUCUUCUUACUAACUGAGUUAUACCCAUUCAUUAAAUAACUUAUAGCUGUAACAGACACUAGUGGCCUUGCUUUUCUACAUCAUUUUAUAAACAAUGGUAAUUUUGGUACGUGGUCUAUUUGAAUGUAGCUGAUAUAUGAAGGUCAUGAUGGCCACUUUGUUUAUUUGGGAGAACUUUGUUAAAUUCCUAUGCCGUGGCUUCUGGAUAUUUGAAUGAUACAGUCCUGAACAAGUUAAUGAGGAAAAUCUUUUGGUGGUCAGAUUAUAUCCUGGUUAAUUUUCAUUUGAUUUUAUGUUAACUUCGCAAUUUGGUCAUGGCAUUGUUUUAUUAACCAUGGAAGAUUCUUAUAUAUAUCCUAUUGGUUUGUCAAUAACUUACACAAUGCCUUGUGUGCAUAGAAUGGACACAUUGAAGAGGCACCUUCCAUUUUCUGGCCAAGAGGGUUUAAAUGAACUCAGGAAAAUCGCAUUAAGGUUCGAGGAAAAGAUUUUUACAGAAGCAAACAGCCAGGUAAUCAUAGAAUAUCGGCAUUCCUUAACCUGCUUGGAUGCAUUGUUGUUUACCUAUAUUUUGUUUGUUUGCGUUGUGUGUAUGUAUCUUUGUGUUUCUUUUUUUUUCUUAUUCAUAUGUGUAGACAUGCAUACACCUAGACUUCUUGUCAAUUACAUUGGAAGUAAAUAAGAAAGAAAUCCAGGGAGGAAAGAGAGCAGAGGUAGGAAAAAACAAAGAUGCUAGAUGCUAACUCAUUAUUAAGCAUGGUUAAUAUAACAUAUUCGAUAAUCUUGUCUUGUAUUUGAAUAAUGAAGUAAAGCUUGUUUACUCUAAUGCCGUAAUGGAUUUCUAUAUUCAGUCUGAUUAUCUGAGGAGAAUAUCCUUGAAGAUGCUUACUAUGGAGAACAAGUCUCAGAAUACUAUGCCCAACUUUGGGAAUAACAGCAAGCCCCCUGAUCCAGGUAAUAGCAGGAAACAGCAUUUUGCUUUGAUGUAUUCUACAAGUAGGACAUUUUCCGUUUACAUGUCCUUUCUGUUCUUUAACACGCAGAGUUGUUUAACUUGCAACAUUUAUGCACAUAUUCUUUCUGCAGCUAUUUGAAUGAAAAUUACCUAUAUUUUAACUCUUUUGUCCCCUUAACAAAGCGUGGUUGUUUUGGUGGGUUGGAGUUGUUUAAGGGAUUGAUUUGAUGAACACCCAAACAGAAAGGCCUAUUUGCUGUUCCCAUGAUUGUAGUCUUUCUGCAUGGGAUGCACCUCUUCAUGUGCUAGGCCUAGGAAUAAUUUUAUUAUUUUUUCAUGAUCCUUAUGGUAUGAUUCAAUUGCCCUCACCUGUUUUAAGUCUAGUCAUCGUUUUGAAUGAAUUAAUUACUGCUUCAGUAUUUUUGUUGUUUAUCUUGUUCUAAAUGUACUUCAAUUCAGUUAAUGUGGGUUCUUCCCAACUUUUCUUUCUGAAUAUAAAAAUCUUGGGUAGGUUCUCAGGGCAUGCAAAACCAAGUUCACAGUCAAGGGCAAUCAAUUCCUAUCCCAUUACAAAGUAAUCAGUCUCAAGCACGUCAACAACUAUUACCCCAGAGUGUUCCAAAUAACAUGUCAUCUGCUGGAGUUCAAAGUUCUACUGGUUUACAAUCUGGGAUGCCUUCUGUCUCUGGACCAACCCAGAAUUCUAUACCUGAUGUUGUUGGCCAGAAUUCCAACAUGCAAAACUUGUCUGAAAUUUCACAGAACUCACUGGGGCAAGGGAUAUCUUCCAAUAUUUUUACUAUUCAGCAGAGGCAAAUGCAAGGAAGGCAACGGGUGCUACUGCAACAGCAGCAGCAGCAGCAGCAGCAACUAUACCCUCAGCAGUUACAACAGCAACUUAUGAAGCAAAAGAUUCAACAAGGAAAUCUCCAGCCUUCACUUAUGCAGUUUCACAUGCCGCAACAGCAACAGCAAAACCUGUUACCACCUACUCAGUUGCAAUCUUGCUUGCAAUCUGGUAUGCAAACAUCAUCCGUUAUGCAGCCAUCUGCCAUGCAAUCAACUCCUCUUACUGGUCUUCAAAAGAAUCAACAAUCUUCUCUACAAGAGUCAAUACAGUCCAUGCUUCAACAGCAUCAACAGCCGCAAUCGGCCACCAGUGUUGGUAUUCUUCAACAACAAACAGCAAUGACACAGCAGUCAAUGAUGCCUCAGCAGCAGCAACAGCCUCCACAGCCACAGCAACAGCUGCAGCAGCCAAACAUAAUGGGACAACAGACAAAUGCUGCAAAUAUAAAGCAAAAUCAGUUAAUUGGACAACAAAAUAGCAUUGUGGACAUGCAGCAGCAGAGAUUGCUAGGCCAGCCUAAUAAUCUUCCAAACCUGCAGCGGCAGCAGCAGCAGCAUCAGUUAAUGGCUAAACAAAACCUCUCAAAUAUCCAUCAGCAACAGUUGGGUCCUCAAAGUAAUAUUUCAGGAUUACAGCAACAGCAGCAGCAGCAAUUGAUUGGAACCCAGUUGGGUAACUCAAGCAUGCAAACUAAUGAGCACAUGCUACCCCAGCCUAAGGUUUCACUCCAACAAACGCAGCAGAGUGCACCUAAUUUGUUACCAACUCAACGACAGACAUCCCAGCAGCCAGCAGCCAGCAGCAGCAGCAACAGCAACUGAUGUCACAGAUGCAAUUACAGUCUACUCAGCUGCAGCAACAAUUGGGUUUGCAAACAGCAGCCCAAUCAAUUACACCAAAAUAUGCAGCCAAGGCUUCACGCAUCAGGUCAACUAUCAUGUUCCUUGCUUCAAUCACAAAAUUUGAUAGAUCAGCAAAAGCAUUUGUAUCAAUCGCGCAGAGCUGUUCCAGAGACAUCAUCAAGUAUGUUUUUGAAUGUUUGCAGUUGCUUACUUUGUUCUUUCCUUGUUUCUUUCUGAUCUUGUGUUAUUUAACUAAUCUAUGCAAUUUUUUCCUCUGAUACUAGCACAUUUUAUCCUUGAAGCCUGAAAAAAAUCUAUUUUCUCAUAUAGCUACUAUAGUUGAUGCUAUUGUUUUUCAUUGCAUUUCUAUUACAGAAAAUAAUUUCCAUUCCAACUUGGGGGGAUUAAGAGAAUAUCUUUUUGAACUUGCACUACGUUGUCCUAUCAAAGCACAUUUUGCCUAGAUGAUUAGUUCUUAGCUAACAAAGACAAAUGCUACCAAAAUUAAUGGCACCCUUGCCUUCAUAAGCUGAUCAUGGGCACUGCCUGGCUUUUUAUGCCACCAGAAACAUUGUUGUUACUGUGGAAAACUCAGAAAUAAAACUGUGGAAAUCUAAGAGUAAAAACUGAAUGUUUAUUGAAAAAUUACACAUUAAGAAUUAUACAAGAACCUUAGUUUAUAUACAAUUAACUAGGGGUUCAACUGGGAAACUAAAUCUUCCUAAAAACUGAUCCUAUGAUUGAGGGAUUGUCUAUCAUUAUCCUUAAUUCUAGGGAUACAAAUACUUAAUUCUAGAGAUACAAAAAUUAAUAUACAGAUUACAAGAUUCCGUGUCACUGCUAAGUUUCCACUGCUGUCACUGUGCUAUUAUGUUACUUUUAACACUCACUCUAGUUAUUAUGCAAUGAUUUUGUCAAACCACAAAGCAAUGGCUGGAUUUAAUCUAUUCAUUUUAUCAACAAAUAAUUCAUGCUGUUUUAUUCAACGAGUUUUCAUGUUUGGCUAUAAAACAUUCUUCUGGAAAUAAGUAAACUGUGUUUUGUGUGCAAAGAGAAGUGACCAUUUUGUUGGUUAAGCUCAAAGAGCAGAAACAAAAUGCAUAAACUCACUCAUACCCCUCAUAUUCAUUUGAAUUUUAGAAUAGUCAGAUAUUUCUAGCAGCUUGUUUGAUUAUGUCGGGUUGGUGUGAUUCCUUUGUCCGACUUAAAUAUUGUUGUUCUUUCUUGUAAUCUAGCUUUCAAAAAUGUUCCCACCACUUAAUUUAACAAAAAAUUAUGAUUAGGAGAUUGCAGUCCUGAUUGAGAACAGCUAGUUACUGUUUUUGCAUCAAAAUAGAGGGUAAACAUGCUUGCAAAUGUCAGAGGAGUUUUGUUUGAAUGAAGAAUGCAUAACGAAUGACUAGAUAAGCAAGAGGGUGACAGCGAGCUGGUUCAUGCAUGCAUGAAAUGGUUAAAAGGGUGUCAAAACUCAAAAUUGUCUUAGUAGUGUUUUGAUUUAGUCUAACGGCUUUUAUUGAAACAUUAAAUUUGUGCUGUAGAAAUAAUUAAGUUCUAUAUGAACCCUAUAUUCCUUGAGUCUAAUUUGUUCCCUAAAUUUUUUUAGUACUUGAGUUUGACUCGCCCUUAUUUGCUUGACAUAUUUAUUUUUAAUGAAUAACAAGUCUGUAGCAGAAAAUAGUUUAACUUUUUUUAGGUUUUCCUUCUCAUGAACACUUAAACUUAUCUAUCAUUUACUCCUGUUCCAACUGAACUUCUUUUUUGUAGAUGGCAAAUGUAUAGUUAGCUUUUAACUUGAGAAACUCUAUAAGUAGCCUUGAAAAAUAAGAAAGAUGUUUGAACUUGGAAUUUGUCUCUCUGUGUCACUAUGGAAAGUCAAAAUUAAAAAAUUUUCUACUUUUGUAAGCGUACAUCUUAGAAUAUCCCAAAAGUAAAAGGCAGUGAAAACGGGGUGUAGGGAGCAUGUUUUUAAUGAGUAACCUCUAAAAUUUGGAUACGCAUGGUUAGUUGCAGAAACUAGCAAUAAAAUUUUCUCAUAUGUCAAUGUCCAAAAUGUUUAAUGGUUUCUUCAAAUGCCUUUCAGUUGUAACCCGUGGUGGGUCUGAUGGAAUUUUGGGACAUAGGAAUUGAUUAUUGGUUGCAUUAUGAACCCUGUCGAUAUCCCGAUCAAUGCUAUGUGUACUUUAAUUUGCUUUCAGAGUUGGUUGUUUUCUGCUCAUAAUUUACCCGUCUUCCAUAAAUUAUCUAUUUCAAUGUUCUGUUACAUAUGCAACAAAAUAAUGUACCUUCACGCGUAUGGAACAAUUUUCUUUCAUUUAAAUUAUGUUUUCCUUGCGUAUUCUUCUUCCUUCAUAAAUUUCCAUUUUUCUUAUGUGUGUAGAAUUUAUUUAUCCUUUUCUUUUAGCAUCUUUAGAUUCCACAGCUCAAUCAGGACAUGCAAAUGGGGGUGAUUGGCAAGAAGAGGUCUAUCAGAAGGUAAAAACUAUCUUGACUUAUUCUCCUAUAGAUAUUAUUACAGUUUCAACUUGGUUUUAAGAAGGUUUUAGGUGUAGGAAAGUGGUUCUGAAAAAGAAUAUUAGAGUAUGUUGGGAUGCAUCUCAUAGCAGGAACCAUAAAACUGAAGAAGUAGGAACUUAAAACAAAUUUGGUAAAAGAAAUUCAGACAUUUUCUGAAUUACUUAUUACUUUGUUAAUAAGAACUUGAAUUCUUUUGGCUUGUUCUUAGAAGAAAGAAAAUAAAGUUUAUUUAAAUCCUUCAGCUCUCUACUAAAGAUCCAUUAAAAUUGGUGAGCAAGAAACCUAAGACCAAGGGUAUCUUGCAUACUUGCCUUCAAAGUAAUCAUCAUUUAUCGACACCUUUGUUUCUUCUGUUAUUGACUAAUAUCAGUGCCUGCUAGUCGGAAAAUGGAAAAAUCUUGUUACUUUUCUAAUAAAUCAUGACACUGGGAUAAAUUGAGUGGUUUAAUUGUUGGUUAAGCAUUCUGUUCCUGAUUUUAUGUUGCAGAUCAAGGCCAUGAAAGAGACAUACUUACCUGAAUUAAAUGAGAUGUACCAGAAAAUUGCUGCCAAGUUGCGGCAGGUAUGUUUAUUCUUUUACAUAAUCAUAUAUAUUCAUUCCCUAACCUCCAAGGAGUGAUAGAACCCAUCUGCCCCGUAGUCUGCCACCCUGUGUCUCUAAAUAGAAUUUAGAGAGGACUUUACUGUUCCACAUUAGAAAGCUGUUGAACCCAUACCACUUUUGGGUUGCUACUCGAAUCCCCUUACCAUAGACACUGUUUAGUGGUUGCACUUAUGCAUAUUUGUUGUAAUAGUUGUUUGUAGUUUUACUGGCAUCAGUUAAAACAAUUUUAUGUGUACCAUUUUCCAGCAUGAUUCUCUUCCACAGCAGCCAAAGUCAGAGCAGCUUGAAAAGUUGAAAAUGUUCAAGAUCAUGUUGGAGCACGUUAUAUCUUUCUUAUCAGUUCCCAAAGCCAGUAUCGCACCCACUUUCAAGGAUAAGUUGAGUUUGUAUGAGAAGCAGAUAGUAAAUAUUUUAAAUACCAAUAGGCCAAGGAAGGCAGUCUCAGCACUGCAGCAAGGACAGCUUCUUCCACCUGAUAUGCAUUCCAUGCCGCAGCCACAACCUCAAAUUAAUCAGACACAGUCUCAUGAUAAUCAAAUGAUCCCUCAGUUGCAGUCAACGAAUUUACAAGGUUUUGUUCCAACAAUGCAGCCGAACAACAUGACAAGUUUGCAGCAUAAUUCUGUGUCUUCCUUACCUGGGGUUGCAACAGCGCAGCAGACCAUGUUAAAUUCGCUGCACCCCAGUUCCAAUUUGGAUGCGGGACAAGGUAAUGCCCUAGGCUCAAUGCAGCAGGCUGCUGCAGGACCUUUACAACAGAAUCCUGUGAGUACCUCCCAACAGGCAAAUAUUAACAGUUUAUCUUCACAAAGUGGGUUAAGUGUCCUGUUGCAAAACACGAAUCCUUUUCAGUCAAAUUCCAACAUGCUUCAGCACCAGCAUAUGAAACAACAGCAGGAACAGCAAAUGCUGCAGUCACAAAUGUACAAACAACAGUUUCAACUGCUUCAGAUGCAGCGGAAGCUGCGGCUACUGCAACAGCUACAGCAACAGCAACAAAAGCAGCUGCAUGAAAUGGAUGAUAUAAAUGACGUGAACAUGAGACAGGGAAUCGGUGUUAAUCCUGGGGUUCUUCAAGCAAAUCUCUCAACUGACCAACUUCCAGGUUAUUCAUAUGAGCAUUCAAAACCUAGUGUCCAAUUUCAUACAUCUUCCACCCCCCGCUCUUUCAGGCUCCAUUUGUCCGCACCUACUUCAAUCCCCCGUUGGAGUCCAUAUCCCUCGCCUGAGAACACUGAGAAAUCUAUCUAUGGCGCUUCCUCUCUGUCAAAUAACAAAAAUAUUAGUCAGCAGCAAGGAAAGAUCUGAAUUCCCUGCACUGACACACUUGGUAAUGGUAAUGGUCAACAUCACCUUUGCUUACUGUGUUCGAAAAUGCUAAUGAUGCUCACAGUAUUGCUUUAACAACUGAUUUUGGCAAGUCGAAGGUUACAGAACUGCCACAUGAUCCCCAGAGUUACCAUGGUUAGUGAAGCUUAAUUAAUUUUCAUUGUUCACAUUAUCUUUUUCAAUUUGCUCCUUUGGCUUGAUAUGUUGUUCAUGUAGUGAAAGAGUGGAAAAAAACCUUGAAAUCCUUCCUUUUUUUUUUUCCUUCUAUUUGACUUUAAUCUUCUAAUAUAGUUUGUUUUAGCUUUUGAAAUGAUGUUGGUUCUAUUACUAUUUUAUAAAGUUUCAGGCAAAACCCAUGUCACUUAAAUCAUUGGAGGCAUCCGUUGUGACCAUGGUUGAUGAGGCAAGCCUCUGCAAGUUGGUGUGGAUGUGGCCGCCACGAGCAAGGGUGGUUUGCGUCGAAGAAGUUUCUUUCCACAAAGUGGAAUGACUGGAGCCGAGAAAAUGAGAUUCUACAUGAGUGCACUGUCUAUGUUAGCUCUAAUGUUUUGGUUCGUUAUAAUAACAUCUGCAUGAGCAGUAGCAAACAAAUUUCCAAAGCUUUUUAUGCUUGGGUAAAAGAGGAAAGGCCCAUUGGUUAUAGCAUGGAUUUCUCUUGUAAGGAGUCAAGAUGAUACUAUUACGACAAAUUGUUGGCAGGUGUUUGCUUAUUUAAAGGUUUUUGAACUUGUUUACAUUCCUAUGAAAUAUAUUAGGAGAUGCAUGCAUCAAAGUUCAUGCCGUUUAAGCCUCAGUGCAUGCCGUUUCUGACCAAUCUAGCCAUGUAAUAACACUAGUUAUCUUACUAAACACAUAAUUUGACCCUAGCUUUUUUUAUCGAGUGACAAGGGUGUUUAGGGUUUUAUGUUUGGGUCGAUCUAAGGUUAUCCAAUACCUUUAGGUGAAGAGCCAUCUAGAUUAGAAAUACCUAGAUGUAAUAAGAGAUAAUGAUCACUUUUAUUUUUCAAUAGGAAAGAGAGAAAAAGAAGGUGAAGUUGGUAUUGAUUUGACGAAAUGUCACAUUUGUAGUCAAAUUUGCUAAAUAUUCAUUGAUGGAAGUGGACCCUUGCAUGUGCUGCCUACACAAAUGGUCCCUUUUUAUUGUUUAAGAUUCUUAAUCACUAAAGGAUUUUUCUUUUCUUUUCUUUUUUUUUUUUAAUAAUAUCAUUAUGACUAUGCUUAGAUUUUGUGGAAAUUUAAUUUUUUAGAUAAUUUUAAGAAUAUAUUUUUUCAUAUAAAUCUCAUGUAUAUACUUUUUUUUAUUUCAAAAUGUCAUUUAUUAAUUUUUAACAAAAUUUAAGAAAAAUUUUAGAUUUUAGUGUGUUUAAUUUUAAAAUUUAAAAUUUUUUUAUAAAUUAAAGUUUUAUGACUUUUAAUGUCAAAAAGUUAAAAAAAUCAUAAAAUUUAAUUUUAAAAUAUAAAAAUAAAAAUUUUAAAUGUUAAAAAAAUCCAACAUAAUUUGAGACAUUUCAAAAAGGAAAGAUUGAAAAAAAAUAGGACAAAAGGAAUAUGAUUUUAUUUUUAUAUAUUUUUCAUAAAAAUAGAAUCCUAAUUAAUACGAAUAAAAAUGUAAAAAAAAAAAAAAAAAACAACCAUAGAAAUCCGAACUUGGAAGGAAAAAAAAAAAAGAUUAAGUGGGCAACUUCAACAUGCAAGGUUCGCACUAGUAAAUUCCACAUGUUACCAUGUAAUUGUAACCUAACCAUUUUCACUAAAAGUACUACAAUAUUUUGAUUUUAAGUGAUUACUUUUGAUUAAAUGUGUAAAUAAUACAUUAAUAUUUUUAAGUUAUUCGAGUUCGAUUCGAAUAAAAUUUGAAUUCGGUUCAAUUAUUAUGUAGUCGAGUUCGAGCUCGAUUAGUUCGAUUCAUCGAUCGAAUCGAGUUCGAGUAUUUUUAUACUUAGCUCGAGUAACUCGCGAGUUUAAUCGAAUUUUUAUAUUUAAAUUUUAUUUAUUAUUUUAAUUAAUAAAAUAUCUCGAAUUCGAGUUCGAACUCGAGCAUAAAUAAUUGAGCUCUUAUCGAGUAUAAGAAUCAAGCUUAUUUUUAUAUAUUUUCGAGCUUAAUCGAACGAGUUCGAGUAAUUUAAAUUCGAUCACAAAUCGAAUUCAAGAUAAAAAAAUGAAUCUUGAUCGAAUUCGAACUGAAUAUCGAGUCACGAGUUGAAAAUCAAGCUAUAAUUUAAAUUUUUUAUUGUAUCGAUUUGACUCUUACUUUUAACAAUGAAUUUACGUGAUUGAACGAGGAUAAAUUUUACUUUUAGAUCUUUUGCUUCUUGUAAGCUUGGGACUUGUUUUCUCAUUUGAGUGCUACAGUAUAUGAAUUGAUGGUUCUCUUUUCUUCUUACUAACUGAAUUAUACCCAUUCAUUAAAUAACUUAUAGCUGUAACGGACACUAGUGGUCUUGCUUUUCUAUAUCAUUUUAUGAACGAUGGUAAUUUUGGUAUGUGGUCUAUUUGAAUGUAGCUGAUAUAUGAAGGUCAUGAUGGCCACUUUGUUUAUUUGGGAGAACUUUGUUAAAUUCCAAUGCCAUGGCUUCUAGAUAUUUGAAUGAGACAGUCCUGAACAAGUUAAUGAGGAAAAUCUUUUGGUGGUCAGAUUAUAUCCUGGUUAAUUUUCAUUUGAUUUUAUGUUAACUUCACAAUUUGGUCAUGGCAUUGUUUUAUUAACCAUGGAAGAUUCUUAUAUAUAUCCGUUUGGUUUGUCGAUAACUUACACAAUGCCUUGUGUGCAUAGAAUGGACACAUUGAAGAGGCACCUUCCAUUUUCUGGCCAAGAGGGUUUAAAUGAACUCAGGAAAAUCGCAGUAAGGUUCGAGGAAAAGAUUUUUACAGCAGCAAACAGCCAGGUAAUCAUAGAAUAUUGGCAUUCCUUAACCUGCUUGGAUGCAUUGUUGUUUACCUAUAUUUUGUUUGUUUGCGUUGUGUGUGUGUAUCUUUGUGUUUCUUUUUUUUCUUAUUCAUAUGUAUAGACAUGCAUAUGUCACGGAUCGAGACUUAAGCUCCGAACCCGCGCGGCUCUGGAACCUGGGCAUUCACCCUUUCGGCAUCCCAGAUCAGCCUUCCUGCCACGGUUCACACCCUUGUGAGGUAUUGUCCGCUCUGACCCCCUGACCUCACGGUUUUGUCCUACAAAAGGCGCUUCACAAGGCGGAGAUGGUGUGAACCCUUUUAUACUCCAGGGACCUUUCUAUUAUGUUCGAUGUGGGAUUCAGGACUCCCUCUUAGGUCCGUGACAUUUUCUCGUACCCAACCUCGUGACGCCCUCGUCACGGAGGCCGGCCACCCUGCCUACCUCCCUCGAGGUGCUUGGCGUGGAUCGAAAGGUUUAGGGCUGGCUCUGAUACCACUUGUCACAGGUCGAGACUUAAGCUCCGAACCCGUGCGGCUCCGGGACCCGGGCAUUCACCCUUCUGGCGUCCCAGAUCAGCCUUCCUGCCACGGUUCACACCCUUUUGAGGUAUUGUUUGUCACGGACCUAAGGAAGAGUCCUAAAUCCCACAUCGAACAUAAUAGGAGGGUCUCUGGGGUAUAAAAAAGUUCACACCACCUCUGCCUUGUGAGUCGCCUUUUGUAGGACAAAACCGUGAGGCCAAGGAGGCCAGAGCGGACAAUACCUCACAAGGGUGUGAACCGUGGCGGUCAGGCUGAUUCGGGAUGUCGGAAGGGUGAAUGCCCGAGUCUCGGAGCCGCGCGGGUUCGGAGCUUAAGUCUCGACCCGUGACAAGUGAUAUCAGAGCCAGCCCUAAACCGUUUGAUCCACGCCGAGCACCUCGAGGGAGGUAGGCAGGGUGGCCGACUUCCGUGAUGAGGGCGUCACGAGGUUGGGUGCGAGAGAAUGUCAUGGACCUAAGGAAGAGUCCUGAAUCUCACAUCGAACAUAAUAGGAGGGUCCCUGGGGUAUAAAAGGGUUCACACCACCUCCGCCUUGUGAGGCACCUUUUGUAGGACAAAACUGUGAGGUCAGGGGGGCCAGAGCGAACAAUACCUCAUAAGGGUGUGAACCGUGGCAGAUAGGCUGAUCCGAGACGCCGGAAGGGUGAAUGCCCAGGUCCCGGAGCCGCGCGGGUUCGGAGCUUAAGUCUCGACCCGUGACACCAACUGUCACGGGCUCCGACCUUAGACUCAGAAUCCGUGCGGCCUUAGGCUUGGAAUCUCCUCCUUUAUGCCUAAAUCAGCCUAAAACACAAGCGUGCGGGCACUAAAACAAUGGGAAUGGCUGAUUACGCAAGUUAAAGAAAAACAGGACAAAAAGACAGAAUUCUGGAAAUGCUCUUGUAUUCAUUGGUGUGAACCCUUUUAUACCCUAGUGACCUUCCUAUUAUGUUCGAUGUAAGAUUCAGGACUCUCUCUUAGGUCCGUGACAUUCUCCCGCACCCAACCUCGUGACGCCCUCGUCACGGAGGCUGGCCACCCUGCCUACCUCCCUCGAGGUGCUUGGCGUGGAUCGAACGGUUUAGGUCCGUGACAUUCUCCCGCACCCAACCUCGUGACGCCCUCGUCACGAAGGCUGGCCACCCUGUCUACCUCCCUCGAGGUGCUUGGCGUGGAUCGAACGGUUUAGGGCUGGUUCUGAUACCACUUGUCACGGGUCGAGACUCAAGCUCCGGGACCCAGGCAUUCACCCUUCCGGCGUCCCGGAUCAACCUUCCGUCACGGUUCACACCCUUGUGAGGUGUUGUCGGCUCCGGCCCCCCUGACCUCACGGUUUUGUCCUACAAAAGGCGCCUCACAAUGCGAAGAUGGUGUGAACCCUUUUAUACCCCAGUGACCUUCCUAUUAUGUUCGAUGUGGGAUUCAAGACUCCCUCUUAGGUCCGUGACACAUACACCUAGACUCCUUGUCAAUUACAUUAGAAGUAAAUAAGAAAGAAAUCCAGGGAGGAAAGAGAGCAGAGGUAGGAAAAAACAAAGAUGCUAAAUGCUAACUCAUUAUUAAGCAUGGUUAAUAUAACAUAUUUGAUAAUCUUGUCUUGUAUUUGAAUAAUGAAGUAAAGGCUGUUUACUCUAAUGCCGAAUGGAUUGCUAUAUUCAGUCGGAUUAUCUGAGGAGAAUAUCCUUGAAGAUGCUUACUAUGGAGAACAAGUCUCAGAAUACUAUGCCCAACUCUGGGAAUAACAGCAAGCCCCCUGAUCCAGGUAAUAGCAGGAAACAGCAUUUUGCUUUGAUGUAUUCUACAAGUAGGACAUUUUCCGUUUACAUGUCCUUUCUGUUCUUUAACAUGCAGAGUUGUUUAACUUGCAACAUUUAUGCACAUAUUAUUUCUGCAGCUAUUUGAAUGAAAAUUACCUAUAUUUUAACUCUUUUGUCCCCUUAACAAAGCGUGGUUGUUUUGGUGGGUUGGAGUUGUUUAAGGAUUGUUUUGAUGAGCACCCAAACAGAAAGGCCUAUUUGUUGUUCCCAUGAUUGUAGUCUUUCUGCGUGGGAUGCACCUCUUCAUGUGCUAGGCCUAGGAAUAAUUUUAUUAUUUUUUCAUGAUCCUCAUGGUAUGAUUCAAUUGCCCUCACAUGUUUUAAGUCUAGUUAUCUUUUUGAAUGAAUUACUGCUUCAGUAUUUUUGUUGUUUAUCUUGUUCUAAAUGUUCUUCAAUUCAGUUCUUGUGGGUUCUUCCCAACUUUUCUUUCUGAAUAUAAAAAUCUUGGGUAGGUUCUCAGGGCAUGCAAAACCAAGUUUACAGUCAAGGGCUAUCAAUUCCUAUCCAAUACAAAGUAAUCAGUCUCAAGCACGUCAACAACUGUUACCCCAGUGUGUUCCAAAUAACAUGUCAUCUGCUGGAGUUCAAAGUUCUACUGGUUUACAAUCUGGGAUGGCUUCUGUCUCUGAACCAACCCAGAAUUCUAUACCUAAUGUUGUUGGCCAGAAUUCCAACAUGCAAAACUUGUCUGAAAUUUCACAGAACUCACUGGGGCAAGGGAAAUCUUCCAAUAUUUUUACUAUUCAGUAGAGGCACAUGCAAGGAAGGCAAUGGGUGCUACGGCAACAGCAGCAGCAACAACCAUACCAUCAGCAGUUACAACAGCAACUUAUGAAGCAAAAGAUUCAACAAGGAAAUCUCCAGCCUUCACUUAUGCAGUUUCACAUGCCGCAACAGCAACAGCAAAACCUGUUACCACCUACUCAGUUGCGAUCUUGCCUGCAAUCUGGUAUGCAAACAUCAUCCGUUAUGCAGCCAUCUGCCAUGCAAUCAACUCCUCUUACUGGUUUUCAAAAGAAUCAGCAAUCUUCUCUACAAGAGUCAAUACAGUCCAUGCUUCAGCAGCAUCAACAGCCACAAGCGGCCACCAGUGUUGGUAUUCUUCAACAACAAACAGCAAUGACACUGCAGUCAAUGAUGCCUCAGCAGCAGCAACAACCUCCACAGCCACAGCAACGGCUGCAGCAGCCAAACAUAAUGGGACAACAGACAAAUGCUGCACAUAUAAAGCAGAAUCAGUUAAUUGGACAACAAAAUAGCAUUGCGGACAUGCAGCAGCAGAGAUUGCUAGGCCAGCCUAAUAAUCCUCCAAACCUGCAGCAGCAGCAUCAGUUAAUGGCUCAAGAAAACCUCUCAAAUAUCCAUCAGCAACUGUUGGGUCCUCAAAGUAAUAUUUCAGGAUUACGGCAACAGCAGCAGCAGCAAUUGAUUGGAACCCAAUUGGGUAACUCAAGCAUGCAAACUAAUGAGCACAUGCUACCCCAGCCUAAGGUUUCACUCCAACAAAGGCAGCAGAGUGCACCUAAUUUGUUACCAACUCAAGGACAGACAUCCCAGCAGCCACAGCAGCAGCAGCAGCACUGAUGUCACAGAUGCAAUUAAAGUCUACUCAGCUGCAGCAACAAUUGGGUUUGCAAUAGCAGCCCAAUCAAUUACACCAAAAUAUGCAGCCAAGGUUUCAUGCAUCAGGUCAACUAUCAUGUUCCCUGCUUCAAUCACAAAAUUUGAUAGAUCAGCAAAAGCAAUUGUAUCAAUCGCGCAGAGCUAUUCCAGAGACAUCAUCAAGUAUGUUUUUGAAUGCUUGCAGUUGCUUACUUUGUUCUUUCUUUGUUUCUUUCUGAUCUUGUGUUAUUUAACGAAUCUAUGCAAUUUUUCCUCUGAUACUAGCACAUUUUAUCCUUGAAGCCGGAAAAAAAUCUAUUUUCCCAUAUAGCUACUAUAGUUGAUGCUAUUGUUUUUCAUUGCAUUUCUAUUACAGAAAAUAAUUUCCAUUCCAACUUGGGGGGAUUAAGAGAAUAUCUUUUUGAACUUGCACUACGUUGUCCUAUCAAAGCACAUUUUGCCUAGAUGAUUAGUUCUUAGCUAACAAAGACAAAUGCUACCAAAAUUAAUGGCACCCUUGCCUUCAUAAGCUGAUCAUGGGCACUGCCUGGCUUUUUAUGCCACCAGAAACAUUGUUGUUACUGUGGAAAACUCAGAAAUAAAAUUGUGGAAAUCUAAGAGUAAAAACUGAAUGUAUAUUGAAAAACUGCUCAUUAAGAAUUAUACAAGAACCUUAGUUUAUAUACAACUAACUAGGGGUUAAACUAGGAAACUAAAUCUUUCUAAAAAUUGAUCAUAUGAUUGAGGGAUUGUCUAUUAUUGUCUUUAAUUCUAGGGAUACAAAUACUUAAUUCUAGAGAUACAAAAAUAAAUAUACAGAUUACAAAAUUACAACCAGCUGUAAAUAAGUGUUUUCUCACACCCCCCCUCAAGCUAGUGAAUGGGUGUUUUCCAUUCCCAACUUGGAAAUAAUUUCUUGAAAUAUUGCACUGCUGAGACAUUUAGUCAACACUUCUGUAAGUUGAUCCUUGGUUGAUACAUAAGGUGUACAAAUCAACCCACUGUCUAGUUUCUCUUUUAUGAAAUGCCGGUUUACUUCAAUGUUUUUUGAUCUGUCAUUGGUCCAUCCCACUUGAUAUUCAAGUCUUCUAGAAUAAUUUUUAACCAUAGUAGUUCACAAAUUCCUUGAGCCAUUGUUCUGAACUCUGCUUCAGCACUUGAUCUUGCAACCACAUUUUGUUUUAUACUCCUCCAAGUCACGAGAUUACCACUUAAGAAAGUGCAGUAGCUUGAUGUGGAUCUUCUAUCAGUAGCUGAACUUGUAUAAUCAACAUCUAUAUAUGUUUCUAGAACUAGCCCCGAAUUUCUUUUGAAUAAGAUACCUCUCCCAAGAUUGGCCUUCAAAUAAUGUAAUACACGGUAAACAGCCUGUAGGUGCACUUCUUUAGGACUAUGUAUGAAUUGACUUACCACACUCACAACAUAUGCUAUAUCAGGUCUAGCAUGUGAGAGAUAAAUGAGUCUUCCAAUUAAUCUUUGAUACAUCUCUCUAUCUACAGCAGCAUCUUCAUUAGCUUAUCCAAUUUUAUGAUUAAGAUCUAUAGGGGUAUUUACAGGUUUACAUGCGAGCUUCUCAGUUUUCUUCAGAAGAUCCAUCACAUAUUUCUGUUGUGAGAUGAAAAUAUCAUGCCGUGAGUGAGCUACUUCAAUUCCUAGGAAUUUUUUUAAUCUUCCUAGCUCAUCUAUCUCAAAUUCCCUAGCUAAAUACAAUUUUAGAGAUUUUCUCUCUUUUUUAUCAUCUCCAGUUACAAUUAUAUCAUCAACAUACACUAAUAGAAUUGUGACUCUCCCUGAAUUAGAGUGUUUGAUAAACAAUGUGUGAUCUCCUUGACUCUGUUUAUAUCCUAUUGCUAGCAUCACUUUGACAAAUCUCUUGUACCAGACCCUAAGAGACUGUUUAAGGCCAUAUAAAGCCUUUUUCAGUUUGCAUACUUUGUUUGCUUGUAGAUGACCUCCAAAUCCCGAUGAAACCUUCAUAUAUAUUUCUUCUUCCAAAUCUCCAAGUAGAAAAGCAUUUUUUACAUCAAAUUGUUGAAGCUACCAAUUGUAAUUUGCAGCCAAUGAUAACAAAAUCUUAACUGUAUUCAUCUUGGCAAUUGAAGCAAAGGUUUUCUGAUAAUCCACUCCAUAGGUUUAAGUGUAGCCCUUAGUCACUAAUCUGGCUUUAUACCUUUCAACAUUACCAUUUGCCUUGUAUUUUACAGUGAAAACCUAUUUACGUCCUCCUGACUUUUUUCUUUUAGGCAACUCUACCAGUUCUCAUGUCUUAUUUUUCUCUAAGGUCUCCAUUUUUAUUUUCAUGGAUUACCUCCAUUUUUCACUAAAUAAUGUCUCGGAUAAUGUAGUUGGAACAAAAAUAGUGUUUAGGCUCACUAAAAAAUUUUUGUAGAAUGAUGAGAAUUUUUCAAAUGGCACAAAAUUAGAGAUUUGGUAUAGUGACUGCUUAGUACAUUCUUUGGUUUCUUUCUUAAUGGCAAUAGAAAGAUCAUAAUCACUUGUUAUAGUUUUAAGAGAUUCAUGCUCAUUUUGAAAAAUAGAGUCAAAACUGUAGUUACCUCAUUUCUAGAGUUAAGAACAAGUUCUUAGUCUGGCAUUGGUUCAGGAUCUGAAACUUUUCUUCUUGAGUACAUUUGUAAUCCCUUCAUAGAAUCAAGAACAAUAUUAUCCUUUGUCACAUCUUCUGUGUUUGAAAUGGGUUCAGACUCAAAUUCAGUGUUUGACUUGGGCUCAGCAGAAACAGGUUUCCACUUAAGAAAAUUAAUGGGUGAAAAUGUUGAAGAGAAGGACAAAUUAAACAAAAAGAAGUCUUUAUCAUUAUCUUCCAUGAAUGAAGUCUCUCCCUGAAGAUAAAGUUGAGUAAAAAAUGGUUUACUUUCUUCAAAAGAGACAUCUGCAGAUACAUAUAAUUUUUUGGUAGGAAGAUGAUAACACUUAUACUUUUUCUGAGUCACAAAGAUACACUUAAUUGCUCUUGGAUGCAAUUUUCUUUUAUUAUGACUGUGAACAUGAACAAAUGAUGUACAACCAAAUAUCCUAGGUGUGAGGUUGUUUGGGUAUUGAGGUUGGGAUAGAAUUUUGAAAGUAGUUCCAUAGGAGUUUUAAAUCUUAAAACCUUUGAAGGUAACCUAUUUAUAAUGUGUGUGGCAAUGAGAACAGCUUUCCUUCUAGUAAGAUUUGGAUACAUUUGCUUAAAAAAGGAAGGCUCGGGUUGUGACUAGUAAAUCGUUAUUUUUUCUUUCUGCCACUCCAUUCUGCUCUGGAGUAUUAACACAAUAUGGCCCAUGAAUAAUCCUCUCUUUUUGAAAAUAAGUGGAUAGACUCUAGUUGAAAUAGUCUCUUGUAUUAUCAGACCUAAAUCUCAUGAUUCUCUUCAAAUUGAUUUUGGAUCAUGUUUUGGAAGCUUAAAAAUAUACUAUUCAUAUCUGAUUUGGAUUUAAAUAAAAAACUCAAAAGAUCCUGGUACAAUCAUCUAUGAAUGAAACAAAUCAUUUUGCACUAGAAAUAUUAGAAAUUGUAGAGGAACCCUAAAUGUCUCUAUGAAUCAAGUAAAAAAGAGUAGAACUUCUUUUGUUACUAAUUGAAAAAGACACACGUCUGUGCUUUGCAAGUUCACAAACAUCACAAUGAAAAUCUUUGAUGUUUAAUCCAUUGAACAAAGAAGGAAACAUGUUUUACAAAGUUCCAAAAGAAGGAUGUCUAAGACGAAAAUGAUAAAGCUAGAUUUUGUCUUUAGUGAAAGAUUUUUCAGAAAAAAAUGACAAAGGUAAAUUAUUCUUGAUAUUACUUGUGUUGUUUGAUGUCUCAAGAUGGUAUAGUCUAUCCUUCUCUUUAGCAAGUCCAAUCUUUUUCUCCGAACUCUGGUGCUGAAAUUCACAAUAAGAGGGAUAAAAAAUCACUUUACAGUUCAUAUCUUUGGUAAGUUUUUGUGUAGAUAUCAUAUUAGUAGACAAUCCAAGAAUAUGAAAAAUAUUUUUUAGAACAAAUGAGGGAUUAAUUUGAACAUCUCUUAAUCCUACCACUGUAACAAGUGAACCAUCUGUAACAACAAUUUUCUUAUUACUAGAACACAUGUUGUAUGUACUAAACUUCUGUGAAGAAUGUGUCAUAUAGUCCAUGGCUCAUGAGUCAAUGACUCAAGAACUCGUAAUAGGCUUAACCAAGACAUUUAAUCCAUGAGAACCAAAAAUUUUACCUGAACUAGAGACCUUACUCAAGGAACAUACUACAGUAGGCUUUUCAAGGGUUCAAUAGCUUUUUCAGCUUUUCAAUCUCUUCGCUGUUCAACUCUCAUUGUUUUCGAGACAUCUAUAAUACUUCAGUAAUUUUUUCAAUUGACAUUUUCUCAAAUUGGGUGGUGGUGAUAUCUUUCUUUGAACUGAAAGAAGUCUUAAGAUAUAAUUAGAAAUAACUCUUAGCAAUGAAGGCUGAAGAAGAGAAAAAUAAAAUGGUUAUGAAGGCUUUAACAGGGUUUGGCAAUGAAGGCCUAAGCAGGGUUCGACAAUGAAGGCCUAAAAAUAAAAGUCUACAAUGAAGGUUGAAAAAUUUUGCUUCCCAAGAAGAGCCUAAAGCUCUGAUACUAUGUGAAAAACUUAGAAAUAGAGCUAUGUGAAAAACUAAGAGUAAAAACUGAAUGUAUAUUGAAAAACUGCUCAUUAAGAAUUAUACAAGAACCUUUGUUUAUAUACAACUAACUAGUGGUUAAACUAGGAAACUAAAUCUUCCUAAAAAUUGUUCCUAUGAUUGAGGGAUUGUCUAUCAUUAUCCUUAAUUUUAGGGAUACAAACACUUAAUUCUAGAGAUACAAAAAUAAAUAUACAGAUUACAAGAUUACAACCAACUGUAAAUAAGUGUUUUCCCACAGUUACCACUGUCACUGCUAAGUCUCCACUGUUGUCACUGUGCUAUUAUGUUACUCUUAACACUUACUCUAGUUAUUUUGCAAUGAUUUUGUCAAACCACAAAGCAAUGGCUGGAUUUAAUCUAUUCAUUUUAUCAACAAAUAAUUCAUGCUGUUUUAUUCAACGAGUUUUCGUGUUUGGCUAUAAAACAUUCUUCUGGAAAUAAGUAAACUGUGUUUUGUGUGCAAAGAGAAGUGACCAUUUUGUUGGUUAAGCUCAAAGAGUAGAAACAAAUGCAUAAACUCACUCAUGCCCUUCAUAUUCAUUUGAAUUUUAGAAUAGUCGGAUAUUUCUAGCAGUUUGUUUGAUUAUGUCGGGUUGGUGUGAUUCCUUUGUCCGACUUAAAUAUUGUUGUUCUUUCUUGUAAUCUAGCUUUUAAAAAUGUUCCCACCACUUAAUUUAACAAAAAAUUAUGAUUAGGAGAUUGCAGUCCUGUUUGAGAACAGCUAGUUACUGUUUUUGUAUCAAAAUAGAGGGUAAACAUGCUUGCAAAUGUCAGAGGAGUUUUGUUUGAAUGAAGAAUGCAUAACGAAUGACUAGAUAAGCAAGUGGGUGACAGCAAGCUGGUUCAUGCACGCAUGAUGGUUAAAAGGGUGUCAAAACUCAAAAUUGUCUUAGUAGUGUUUUUGAUUUAGUCUAACGGCUUUUUAUUGAAACAUUAAAAUUUGGCUGUAGAUUUAAUUAAGUUCUGGAUAUGACCUAUAUUCCUUGAGUCUAAUUUGUCCCCUAAAUUUUUUUUAGUACUUUAGUUUGGCUCGCCCAUUAUUUUGCUUGACAAUAUUAUUUUUAAUGAAUAACAACGUCUGUAGCAGAAAAUUAGUUAACUUUUUUUAGGUCUUCCUUCUCAUGAUCACUUAAACUUAUCUAUCGUUUACUCCUGUUCCAACUGAACUUCUUUUUAUAGAUGGCAAAUGUAUAGUUAGCUUGUAACUUGAGAAACUCUAUAAGUAGCCUUGAAAAAUAAGAAUGAUGUUUGAACUUGGAGUUUGUCUCUGUGUCACAAUGGAAAGUCAAAAUUAAAAAAUUUUCUACUUUUGUAAGUGUACAUCUUAGAAUAUCCCAAAAGUAAAAGGCAGUGGAAAUGGGGUGUAGCGAUCAUGUUUUUAAUGAGUAACCUCUAAAAUUUGGAUACGCAUGGUUAGUUGCAGAAACUAGCAAUAAAAUUUUCUCAUAUGUCAAUGUCCAAAAUGUUUAAUGGUUUCUUCAAAUGCCUUUCAGUUGUAAGUCGUGGUGGGUCUGAUGGAAUUUUGGGACAUAGGAAUUGAUUAUUGGUUGCGUUAUGAUCCCUGUCGAUAUCCCCAUCAAUGCUAUGUGUACUUUAAUUUGCUUUCAGAGUUGGUUGUUUUUUGCUCAUAAUUUACCCUUCUUCCAUAAAUUAUCUAUUUCAAUGUUCUGUUACAUAUGCAACAAAAAUAAUGUACCUUCAAGCGAAUGGAACAAUUUUCUUUCAUUUAAAUUAUGUUUUCCUUGCGUAUUCUUCUUCCUUCAUAAAUUUCCAUUUUUCUUAUGUGUGUAGAAUUUAUUUAUCCUUUUCUUUUAGCAUCUUUGGAUUCCACAGCUUAAUCAGGACAUGCAAAUGGGGGUGAUUGGCAAGAAGAGGUCUAUCAAAAGGUAAAAACUAUCUUGACUUAUUCUCCUAUAGAUAUUAUUACAGUUUCAACUUGGUUUUAAGAAGGUUUUAGGUGUAGGAAAGUGGUUCUGAAAAAGAAUAUUAGAGUAUGUUGGGAUGCAUCUCAUAGCAGGAACCAUAAAACUGAAGAAGUAGGAACUUAAAACAAAUUUGGUAAAAGAAAUUCAGACAUUUUCUGAAUUACUUACUACUUUGUUAAUAAGAACUUGAAUUCUUUUGGCUUGUUCUUAGAAGAAAGAAAAUAAAGUUUAUUUAAAUCCUUCAGCUCUCUACUAAAGAUCUAUUAAAAUUGGUGAGCAAGAAGCCUUAGACCAAGGGUAUCUUGCAUACUUGACUUCAAAGUAAUCAUCAUUUAUCGACACCUUUGUUUCUUUUGUUAUUAACUAAUAUCAGCGCCUGCUAGUCAGAAAAUGGAAAAAUCUUAUUAUUUUUCUAAUAAAUCAUGACACUGGGAUAAAUUGAGUGGUUUAAUCGUUGGUUAAGCAUUUUGAUCCUGAUUUUAUGUUGCAGAUCAAGGCCAUGAAAGAGACAUACUUACCUGAAUUAAAUGAGAUGUACCAAAAAAUUGCUGCCAAGUUGCGGCAGGUAUGUUUAUUCUUUUACAUAAUCAUAUAUAUUCAUUCCCUAACCUCCAAGGAGUGAUAGAACCCAUCUGCCCCAUAGUCUGCCACCCUGUGUCUCUAAAUAGAAUUUAGAGAGGACUUUACUGCUCCACAUUAGAAAGCUGUUGAACCCAUACCACUUUUAGGUUGCUACUUGAAUCCCCUUACCAUAGACACUGUUUAGUGGUUGCACUUAUGCAUAUCUGUUGUAAUAGUGGUUUGUAGUUUUACUUGCAUCAGUUGAAACAAUUUUAUGUGUACGAUUUUCCAGCAUGAUUCUCUUCCACAGUAGCCAAAGUCAGAGCAGCUUGAAAAGUUAAAAAUGUUCAAGAUCUUGUUGGAGCACAUUAUAUCUUUCUUAUCAGUUCCCAAAGCCAGUAUCUUACCAACUUUCAAGGAUAAGUUGAGUUUGAAUGAGAAGCAGAUAGUAAAUUUUUUAAAUACCAGUAGGCCAAGGAAGGCAGUCUCAGCACGGCAGCAAGGACAGCUUCCUCAAUGAUAUGCAUUCCAUGCCGCAACCACAACCUCAAAUUAAUCAGACACAGUCUCAUGAUAAUCAAAUGAACCAUCAGUUGCUGUCAACGAAUUUACAAGGUUUUGUUCCAACAAUGCAGCGGAACAACAUGACAAGUUUGCAGUAUAAUUCUGUGUCUUCCUUACCUGGGGUUGCAACAGCGCAGCAGACCAUGUUAAAUUCCCUGCAGCCAAGUUCCAAUUUGGAUGCGGGACAAGGUAAUGGCCUAGGCUCAAUGCAUUCUCAGAAGCCUUGGUAGCAUUCUCAGAAGCCAACUAACAAUUAAUUCUUUAGUGAAUAGCAAUUGGUUGAGUAUUAGCAUUGCUUUCCACUGAUGUGCUGGUCUAGUGGUGAAAGUAGUGGUGUUUUAGUGAGUUACAGUCCUCCUUAGGUGCAUGACCAAUGGCCUAGGACAGAGAGAAAAAUCGGAAUCUUAAGAGCCUUGUGAAGAAGGGUUUCCUAGUAUUAGUAUUAAAUCAACCAAAUUGACAUCCAAUUGUAAAGUUGUGGUUUACAUAGCAAACCAUCAUGUUCAACUUAAGUCAUGGUUGUAGGGUGUCUGUGAGUGUCUAGUAACAUGUCUUGUCAUUUUGUAAGAGUGCGGCAAAUGAUGUAUACUGUCCACUUUAUCUUACAACAUUAACAAAAAUGAAAUCCUGCUCUUAUGUAUAAAUUUGUGGUUGCAAAAACUGUGUUUUACCCCGAGUUUCUUAUCAAGAGAAGGGGGUUGUUUACUGAAAAGAGCUUUGUCAAAUGUUUUGCAUAUUUGAGAAGUGAUUUGUGUCCAAACUUACAAGUUUUUCUUUUUCACUUCCUUUAAUAUAUGACAAAAAAUUUGAUGUGAAUUGUUUGUGACUUUUCUUUUCUCUUUUGAUGUUGUCAGAAUUUGAUGGAUACCAAUAACUGGAGGCCUACUCCUGCCAGUGGAGAGCCCACCAUGGAUACAGGUGAUUGGAGAACCCAGUUGCAGCCUGAUUCACGACAAAGAAUUGUCAACAAGAUGUAAGUGAAUUUUAUGGUAUUAUUAUUUGUUAAAUAUACUUGUUGUAUUUAAGUUACUGAUAUUCUGUGGCAUGUCUUUUACAGUUUCAAUAUUGUUAAUAACCAAACAAUACCAUCAAUAAAACCAUAUAUCCUAUUCUAGAGCGCAUUCUUUGUUUUGUAAAUACAUAGCUCGAAAAUCAAAGCUUGCUCUUACCCAGAGUUUGGGCACAAUAUAUGGAUCACGUAUCUGGAAGCCUGAUGUGGCAAAGCUAUUGGGUCCAAUUCUGUGUGGCGUACUUGGUAUCGACAUUUAAUGAAUUUAUGUGAUUGAAUGAGGAUAAAUUUUACUUUUAGAUCUUUUGCUUCUUGGAAGCUUGGGACUUGUUUUCUCAUUCGAGUGCUACAGUAUAUGAAUUGAUGGUUCUCUUUUCCUCUUACUAACUCAAUUAUACCCAUUCAUUAAAUAACUUAUAGCUGUAACGGACACUAGUGGUCUUGCUUUUCUAUAUCAUUUUAUGAACGAUGGUAAUUUUGGUAUGUGGUCUAUUUGAAUGUAGCUGAUAUCUGAAGGUCAUGAUGGCCACUUUGUUUAUUUGGGAGAACUUUGUUAAAUUCCAAUGCCAUGGCUUCUGGAUAUUUGAAUGAGUCGGUCCUGAACAAGUUAAUGAGGAAAAUCUUUUGGUGGUCAGAUUAUAUCCUGGUUGAUUUUCAUUUGAUUUUAUGUUAACUUCACAAUUUGGUCAUGGCAUUGUUUUAUUAACCAUGGAAGAUUCUUAUAUAUAUCCUAUUGGUUUGUCGAUACCUUACACAAUGCCUUGUGUGCAUAGAAUGGACACAUUGAAGAGGCACCUCCAUUUUCUGGGCCAAGAGGGUUUAAAUGACUCAGGAAAAAUCGCAGUAAAGGUUUUUCGAAGGAAAAGAUUUUUUACAGCAGCAAACAGCCAGGUAAUCAUAGAAUAUUGGCAUUCUUAACCUGCUUGGAUUGCCAUUGUUGUUUACCUAUAUUUUGUUUGUUUCGCGUUGUGUGUAUGUAUCUUUGUGUUUCUUUUUUUUCUUAUUUAAUAUGUAUACGAAUGCAUACACCUAGACUCCUUGUCAUUACAUUGGAAGUAAAAUAAGAAAAGAAAUCCAGGGAGUGAAAGGAGAGCAGAGGUAGGAAAAACAAAGAUGCCUAAAUGGAUAUUAAGCAUGGUUAAUAUAACAUAUUUGGACAAUCUUGUCUUGUAUUUGAAUAAUGAAGUAAAGCUUGUUUACUCUAAUGCUGUAGAUGGAUUUCUAUAUUCAGUCUGAUUAUCUAAGGAGAAUAUCCUUGAAGAUGCUUACUAUGGAGAAACAGUCUGAGAAUACCAUACCCAACACUGGGAAUAACAGCAAGGCCCCUGAUCCAGGUAAUUGCAGGAAACAGCAUUUUGCUUUGAUGUAAUCUAGAAGGAGGACAUUUUCCAUUUACAUGUCCUUUCUGUUCUUUAACAUGAAGAGUUGUUUAACUUGCAACAUUUAUGCACAUAUUCUUUCUGCAGCUAUUUGAAUGAAAAUUACCUAUAUUUUAACUCUUUUGUCCCCUUAACAAAGCGUGGUUGUUUUGGUGGGUUGGAGUUGUUUAAGGGAUAGAUUUGAUAAGCACCCAAAUAGAAAGCCCCAUUUGCUGUUCCCAUGAUUGAAGUCCUUCAGCAUGGGAUGCACCUCUUCAUGUGCUAGGCCUAGGAAUAAUUUUAUUAUUUUUUUCAUGAUCCUCAUGGUAUGGUUCAAUUGCCCUCACAGGUUUUAAGUCUAGUCAUCUUUUUGAAUGAAUUAAUUACUGCUUCAGUAUUUUUGUUGUUUAUCUUGUUCUAAAUGUUCUUCAAUUCAGUUCUUGUGGGUUCUUCCCAACUUUUCUUUCUGAAUAUAAGAAUCUUGGGUAGGUUCUGAGGGCAUGCAAAACCAAGUUCACAGUCAAGGGCAAUCAAUUCCUAUCCCAUUACAAAGUAAUCAGUCUCAAGCACAUCAACAACUGUUACCCCAGAGUGUUCCAAAUAACAUGUCAUCUGCUGGAGUUCAAAGUUCUACUGGUUUACAAUCUGGGAUGCCUUCUGUGUCUGGUCCAACCCAGAAUUCUAUACCUAAUGUUGUUGGCCAGAAUUCCAACAUGCAAAACUUGUCUGAAAUUUCACAGAACUCACUGGGGCAAGGGAUAUCUUCCAAUAUUUGUACUAAUCAUCAGAGGCAAAUGCAAGGAAGGCAACAGGUGCUACCGCAACAGCAGCAGCACCUUUGCUUGCAGGGUUCGAAAUUACCUGCACCUGACACACCUGGUAAUGGUAUGUCAACAUCACCUUUGCUUGCAGGGUUCGAAAAUGCUAAUGAUACUCACAGUAAUGCUUUAACAACUGAUUUUGGCGAGUCGAAGGAUACAGAAGAGCCACAUGUUCCCAGAGUUACCAUGGUUAGUGGAGCUUAAUUAAUUUUCAUUCUUCGCAUGCUCUUUUUUCAAUUUUCCCCUUUGACUUGAUAUGUUGUUCAUGUGGUGAAAGAGUGGUAAAAAAGCUUGAAAUCCUUCU